rnacentral:tRNA from 1 species
GCCUGGUGGCUCAGUGGUUGAGCUCAGGGCAUGAUCCUGGGAUGUGGGAUCGAGUCCCACAUUUGGCU